CGCGUUUUUUAACGUUUGUUCGAAAUACGUCACACAUGACGAAUCGCAGUUCGAUUGUGUUUCUCGUUGCUGUCGGACGUGCUUUUCUUUCGCUCUUGGAUUGCGUGCUGUUUUCUGCGGUUUCGUGCCUUUUACAGAGAAGAUUGAAGAUUUUUUAGGUAAGUCUUAGUCCUUAUUGAUCCUAGACGUAAGAAUUUAUUUAAUAUUACUUGGAGAAUCGGUCCCAGAAGACAUCUCGGCACAUCGUUCGAUGGUCGACCGUUUGCGCUUCGGAUUCGAAUCUUUUAGAUUUAAAAAGGCGGCUGCGGAUGAAGACGUUGGUGCGUUGUUGGAGGCGGUUCCGGCGGAGGCAGGCGGUGGCGCCGGUGGGAGAGGGUUCCUCGGACGACGCGGAACCAGUCUGUCGUUCCGUGCCGUUGGAGGAGCGGGGGCUCGACGGAGUGACAGGCAGCGAGUGAAGAAGGCCUUGGCCAAGUGCGCGUGGCGUGGCAUCCUCCCGGAGUAGGGAUGAUGCGACGCUACACCCUGGGUCCAGUGCGCUUGGCCGAGGUCUUCGGGGAUCAUCCGGCCACAGACAUUUCUGUGGAGGAUGUUGAAAGUGUCAGCUCGGACGAGCUGUCACUUUCUGUUUGGUCGCGUUCUGCCCGUUCGUCCGCGACGGCGACGCCACCGCCUUGCCGAAAUCGGAACGGGGAGGAGUCGUAGGAGAGAGCCCCCGAAGUCGAGGGACCCCUGGCCUAGGCGAUGAACUUCUUCGAUUUCCUCUUCUUCACACGGAUGCGACUUUCUUACCGGAUUCGACACUUUUCACCCGGACAUGACACUUUUUAACGGACGUGACUUCUCUUACCCGGACGUGACCCACGGACUUGACACGUUUCUUCACCGGACGCGACAUUCGGCCGACCUUUCUUCCCAAACAGCUGUUAUGAGGAUUGAGCUUCCGGUUAGGGUUCGUUAGGUCAGGUCCUUCGCUCUUCUCAUAACACUGUUCGGGAAGAAAGGCUGUCUGAUUAAGGUAAUAAUCUUGACCUUAGGUAAUAAAUGAAUAAACUUCUCGUUUUCUCACUGCCUUUGUGUUUUGUAGGAACAUUUGGGAGGGAGAAGUAUCUCCCUCUCCAUCUUUACCACGAAGAGGACCAAGAAGUGGUCAUUUAUCGUACAAGUGAAUAUUUUCCGAUGGCAUGCCGAAGAUGUUCUUCGAUCACACACAUACACACACACGCACGGACAUAACACCACCGUACACGAAGAUAUACACCGUUUAACCUUUACUCGAAUUCUCGCACUCACGCACUUACACGUCAAGCGCCACGUUCUGUGUAAUUCGACACAAUGAAACAAC